AGGCUUUUAGCUCAGUUGGUAGAGCGGCUGCCUUACAAGCAGCGGGUCAUCGGUUCAAAUCCGGUAGGGCCUA
rfam:Auxenochlorella protothecoides strain 0710 contig1000, whole genome shotgun sequence.